GUGCAGGCAUGGCGGCAGCGGCAGAGCCUGGCACACCUGGUAUGUGACACCCAACCAAAGCCACGGUGCACAGGCACCUGCUGCUGCCUCUGCCGCCAUGUCCUCAGCCAGAGUGGGCCCUGUGAACUCCUCCUCCCAGCCUUGCCCAGCCGUGACCUCCUUGUCCCUGCUUCAGGGACAGGGAUAUUGAAGGGUGCUCACCUUCAAUAUCGUGCCUUAAGCAUUUCUGUGGCUGCCCACAGUUCAUCAUCAGAAUGCUUCUUUUGUUCACAUUUAUUAUUCUUGGUCCUAGAUUUGGAAAUAAAGAACGGCACACAGGAAAAGACCCCCCUGCAGCCCCGUCUUUGAUGGCUGCCUGGACCACCUGCAGGAGAAGCCCCUCAGAAGAUGGGUCCCUGGAACCUUUGCGCAGGUUUGCUGAACCUCAGGAGUUCACUCAGCACAUCGUUCGCUCUCAGCUGCCCCAGCAGGAGCUGCGCAGAACCGCCUUGGAGGCGUGCUCAGAGGACACUUCCUCACUUUUAUAAUGAAUCGUGAGCACUCUCUCCUCGCUUUGGCCGGCAGAGCCUGCCUUUCUGGCCACGUGGACGUCUUCAUGCAGGGUCCUGCUGGCCCCUUGACAUCAACAGGCAUGAAGCUGCAGCCAUCCUCUCCCCUCCCCAAGUUUUGGGCACCACCAUCUCCUAGUCUCUUGAGACUGGCCCCUGGCUUCUCCCGUUACCCCAGCCUCAGUCCCAUCCAAUCUGCUCCCCAUUGAGAAGUCCAAGUGGACCCUCUUCUCCGGCCUCACUGCCCCCAGCCCACUCCUUGGGCUCCAUCCCAGCCUCUUCCUUGGCGGUCCCCCAGCUACUCUCCAGUCCUACGUGCAGCUGCAUCUUCCAGAUCCACCUGGCACGGCAUCUCCUUCUGCCUCAAUGCCUGGGAUUCAGGACCUUGAUCACAGCUGGGUUUUGUAUAGAAAUAAAUAAAUAAAACUGAAAGAAAAAAACAC
rnacentral:lncRNA from 1 species